rnacentral:rRNA from 1 species
UACGUAGGGGGCAAGCGUUGUCCGGAAUCAUUGGGCGUAAAGAGCGUGUAGGCGGCCAGAUAAGUCCGCUGUGAAAUCUCGAGGCUCAACUUCGAGCUGUCGGUGGAAACUGUCUGGCUAGAGUCCGGAAGAGGAGAAUGGAAUUCCUGGUGUAGCGGUGAAAUGCGCAGAUAUCAGGAAGAACACCGAUGGCGAAGGCAACCAUCUGGACCGACACUGACGCUGAGGCGCGAAAGCGUGGGGAGCAAACAGG